rnacentral:tRNA from 1 species
UCCCUGGUGGCUUAGAGGAUAAAGUGUACGCCCACAAUGCGGGAGACCCAGGUUCGACCCCUGGGUAGGGAA